ensembl:ncRNA ZK40.4 ncRNA
CCUUUUGAGAUUUUUUGAUGAUUGAUAGACAGCUAUCAUUUAUCAGUUCCAAAUAUGUUUCUCUCUGGCGGUCCCGGCUAAUUGAUUGCCUAUCACGGUGUCGGUGUCACUGAAGAAGACAAAUCAGCG